rnacentral:rRNA from 1 species
UGGGGAAUAUUGGACAAUGGGCGCAAGCCUGAUCCAGCCAUGCCGCGUGAGUGAUGAAGGCCUUAGGGUUGUAAAGCUCUUUCGUCCGGGACGAUAAUGACGGUACCGGAAGAAGAAGCCCCGGCUAACUUCGUGCCAGCAGCCGCGGUAAUACGAAGGGGGCUAGCGUUGUUCGGCAUCACUGGGCGUAAAGGGCGCGUAGGCGGCUUUGUAAGUCGGGGGUGAAAGCCUGUGGCUCAACCACAGAAUUGCCUUCGAUACUGCAUGGCUUGAGACCGGAAGAGGUAAGUGGAACUGCGGGUGUAGAGGUGAAAUUCGUAGAUAUUCGCAAGAACACCAGUGGCGAAGGCGGCUUACUGGUCCGGUUCUGACGCUGAGGCGCGAAGGCGUGGGGAGCAAACAGG